rnacentral:tRNA from 1 species
UCCCGGGUGGUCCAGUGGCUAAGACUCCACACUCCCAAUGUAGGGUCCAGGUUCAAUCCCUGCUCAGGGAA